ensembl:lncRNA
CUCAUUACUGCCCCUCAGUAUCAUUAUUUCCUCUUAUUACUACCUCUCACCUGCAUUAUUGCUCUUCAGGCUUGUGUUGCCCCUUAUCACUGCCCCUUACUGACAUUAUUACCCCAAUGUUGAUUGAGACUCAGUCGUGAAUCAGAGGGUGAAUGAAUUUAAUCUGAUUAUUAGAAUCAGAUUCUGUUCCUCUGUGUCACUCUGAUACAGUUAACAUCCUGGUUCAUUAAUAUUUAAAUUAAUCUGCUGAUGAAUGAAUUACUGAUUCAGUUAUUCACUUCUGGCUUAAAGCCACACCCACAUUUCCAUAUACGGUGCUGUGAAGAAGUAUUUAGUUUCUUCUGUAUUCGUGUGUAUCUCGGACUAAAUAGUUUUAGAUCUUCAAAUGAAAUACAACAUAAAAUGAAGGUAACAUGAGUAAACACACAUUAUAAAGGUUUAUUUUUUUACUGAAGCAAAAAAGUUUCUCAACACCUAUCACCCAUGUGAAAAACUAAUUGCCCCCUUAAACUUAAAAUCUGGUUGUACUGCCUUUAUCAGCAAUAGCUGCAACCAAACACUUCCGAUAACUGGAGAUCAGUCUUUCACUUACUUCUAGGACUAGGACUUACUCCUGUGCUUUGGAUCACUGUCUUGCUGCAUAAUCCAGUUACGCUUGAGUUUCAACUUACGGACUAAAGACCAGAUAUUCUCCUUCAGAAUUUUCUGGUAGAGAGCAGAAUUCAUGUUUCCCUCAAUUACUGCAAGUUGCCCAGACCCUGAAGCAGCAGAGCAUCCCCACACCAUCACACUUCCACCACCAUGCUUGACCGUAGGUAUGAUGUUCUUUUUGUGGAAUUCGGUGUUUGGUUUUCUCCAGAUGUAACGGGAGCCUGUCUUCCAAACAGUUCCACUUUGCACUCAUCAGUCCACGGAACAUUCUCCCAAAAGAUUUGAGGAUCAUCAAGGUGUGUUUUGUGAAAUUCAGUCGAGUCUUAAUGUUCUUCUGGUUUAGCAGUGGUUCCCUUUCAAAGGGAACUUUGACGUUGCAUUUAGCAUAACAGUAUAGGAGCACCUUGCACACGUGACUGGUGUCUGAAGCUUGUAUAAAAUCAUGCCUCUACUUAUAGGCCUGCCAUGAUCAGGUGACAUGGCAAUUAAGCACGUAGCAUGAUAUAUAUGGCACCUGUGAACCACGCUGCCAGCCUUAUUAUCUUCAGCGAGACUGCAUGUCUGUUGUUUGUGUGACAAAAGAAAAAGAAACGCUUCAUUUCUACUCUAUAUUUCUCAAUAUCUCUCAACUUUUCUAACCCUUUUUUAGAAAAAGAAAAGAAAAGAGAGUGAAAGAAUGAGCGAGAGGGAUUUCGGGAAGUGUGUUACACCUUGCUUCCUGUUUCAUCACGGGAGGAGACGGACACGCUUUCUGCGUGAAGUGUUUGGGCAUAGAGCAUGCUACAGCAGCCCUCGAGGGGUCUGACUGUCAGCAUUGUGAACGUUUCACGAUUAGGCAACUACGCUCUCGGCUCGCUCUCUUCUCGUCCGAAGGGAGCUGGGUUUCAGAGCCUCAUUGAUCUGGGCCAGCCACUGCCGAGGCAGCCAGCCAGCUCAGGUCCUGGGGUUCUUGUAUGGAUUUGGAAGAGGAGCCAGAGACGAGCGUUGCUCUAUCUCUUGCUCUGUCUUCCGGGUCCGGCUCUCCACCUGACCUUAGAGCUUGUGUCGCGACUCCUCCUUCCUCUAUGGAAAGCCAAAACACCCUCGCUGACUCCCGAGUUGUCGGUAGAGGGU